GCAGGGUCGUUUCAUUCACUGAAGAUCCAGCUGGUGUAGCAGUUUGGGAUGUGCACUAAAAGAUGCUUGGAAAUACCUGCUGGUCUUUCAGCUAUUGUGCUAUAAAACCAGACAAAAAACAGCACUUUGGAUUCUAUGCUGAAUUCUAGCUCUUCUUAGGAACCUAAGGAUUUUAUUUAGUCCACAGAUUAAGAUCUUAGAGUAAAUAUAAUAAAAAUACUUUAAAGGUUAUGUAUCAACAAGGUGUCAGUGUGCAUAAGGAUAAAGUAUUCUAGUCAUAAUUAAAUUUCCAAUCUAAUUAUAAUUUGAGGCAUCCUUUUAAUUACAUUGCAAUAUUUUCUUUUCCUAGGAAGAUGAGUGGUAUAGCAUCUUUUAUCUGUAAUUUUCAUUUAAUUAAAAAUGUAAAUAAAUC